rnacentral:rRNA from 1 species
UGCGUAGGCGGAAUGAUAAGUUAGUGGUGAAAGCCCCCGGCUCAACCGGGGAACUGCCAUUAAUACUGUCAUUCUUGAGUAUAGUUGAAGUGGGCGGAAUGUAUCAUGUAGCGGUGAAAUGCUUAGAUAUGAUACAGAACACCGAUAGCGUAGGCAGCUUGCUAAACUAUAACUGACGCUCAGGCACGAAAGCGUGGGGAGCGAACAGGAUUAGAUACCCUGGUAGUCC